CCUACGGGUGGCAGCAGUGAGGAAUAUUGGUCAAUGGCCGAGAGGCUGAACCAGCCAAGUCGCGUGAGUGAAGAAUGUCCUAUGGAUUGUAAACCUCUUUUGUCAGGGAGCAGAGUCACCCACGAGUGGGUGUUGGAGAGUACCUUAAGAAAAAGCAUCGGCUAACUCAGUACCAGCAGCCGCGGUAAUACGGGGGAUGCGAGCGUUGUCCGGAUUUAAUGGGUUAAACGGGUGCGUAGGCGGGUUAUCAAGUCGGCGGUAAAAUCGUGGAGCUCAACUUCAUCCAGCAGUUGAAACUGAUGAUCUUGAGUGGGCGAGAAGUAGGCGGAAUGCGUGGUGUAGCGGUGAAAUGCAUAGAUAUCACGCAGAACUCCGAUUGCGAAGGCAGCAUACCGG
rnacentral:rRNA from 1 species